GGUUCGAACCCCGCUAACGAAUUCCACAGAGAAGAUUAGCAUGGCCCCUGCACUAAGGAUGACACGCUCAAUCAAAGAGAAGCUAAACAUUUUU
rnacentral:snRNA from 1 species